AUUAUUAGUUAUGUUCUUUAAACUUAAAAAAAUUGGCGGUAUUUAAAUCUAAUUAGGGGAAUUUGUCUAUUAAAUGAUAUUCCUCAAGAAACCUUACUUUAAUUUAUUUAAUUUAUUUAUUGCCGUUAUCAGAUUAUUUUUUUAGAAUAUAAAAUUUUCAAAUAUUUUAAAUAUAUAAAUUUAUUUCAGGUCUUUAUGUAGUUUAUAUUAAAGUUUUAUGAUGAAUUACAAUAAAUUUAAAUUUAUUAUGGAAAUUAAAUUGCAAUAUUUAAUUGAAAGUGGACUUAAUAGUAAAAUUUUAAAAAUUAUGUUAAUUUGAAUUAAGAAUUAAAU
rnacentral:rRNA from 1 species